CUACGCACUCCUACGGGAGGCAGCAGUGGGGAAUAUUGCACAAUGGGCGCAAGCCUGAUGCAGCCAUGCCGCGUGUAUGAAGAAGGCCUUCGGGUUGUAAAGUACUUUCAGCAGUGAGGAAGGUGGGUAUGUUAAUAGCAUAUUCAUUUGACGUUAGCUGCAGAAGAAGCACCGGCUAACUCCGUGCCAGCAGCCGCGGUAAUACGGAGGGUGCGAGCGUUAAUCGGAAUUACUGGGCGUAAAGCGCAUGCAGGUGGUUUGUUAAGUCAGAUGUGAAAGCCCGGGGCUCAACCUCGGAAUUGCAUUUGAAACUGGCAAACUAGAGUACUGUAGAGGGGGUAGAAUUUCAGGUGUAGCGGUGAAAUGCGUAGAGAUCUGAAGGAAUACCGGUGGCGAAGGCGGCCCCCUGGACAGAUACUGACACUCAGAUGCGAAAGCGUGGGGAGCAAACAGGAUUAGAUACCCGGGUAG
rnacentral:rRNA from 1 species